CAUGGACAAUGACGAAUUACAUGCCCCUUUUAAUUAAUAUUUUAAGUAACUAUGAAUUAAUGUGCAUUUGCAUAUUGAAACUGCAAUGAAGUAAGCUGCAGGACGUUGGGGAAGACCCAUUUUUCAUCCGUCGACUCAAGUUGACAGAGCUGAGCUUUGGGCACCAACAGGAGCAAGUCGUCCAUGUCCCCCUCUCCUUCCUCCUCAUCCUUGUCCUGCUCCUCCGUCAAUGUCUCCAGCUCAUCCAGAGACUUGGAAAUGCCAGUGGGGGCACUUCUCCGGCUACUAUGUAACCAGACUGUACUUCAUAUGAAAACUCCCGAACUAACAGAUGGAUAUUUGGAACGCAACUGUGUCCGGAAGAGCCGACGUGUCCAUGAGUGCUCGCUUUGACCUAUCAUACCCUGUAGCUGAUUUAUCAGUAGAUAAUGUUUUUGCGAAUUCUGUUACUUGUAUACAUCUUUCAACAACCACAGUAAUGUAAUGUAAUAAAAUGAUAUGUUGUAAACAGUGAUAGGUCUCUGCUGACUCAUAAUAGUAGGAGGUUGAGGACACUUGUGUUGUAGAUGUUUGGAGGCGUCAACUUACAAGUGUCAUUCCCUUAGAAAUGUGUAUUUGAGUUCAGGAAAGGUAGACAAUGUUCAGCCAAUGUAGUUAUUUAUAUGACGGACACUUUGUAACAUAUUCCUUGUCUAGUUGUCAUGUUUUAUUUUAAUCAUAUUUUUACUUGAAAUCAAGUCUCAAGUUAUGUGAUUUGUUUGAGGUUUUGUUGGAGAAUACGAGUUGAGUUUAUUGAAGUAUUCACUACAAGUAAUGUC
rnacentral:lncRNA from 1 species